UAUCGGUUACAUCGUAUCGUUCGCACGACUCGUGCGAGGUUUCUCUCUCGAAGCCGCAUCUCGCACUCUCGCGAGAUGCGACACGCAGUUAUCGUCUCGUCGGCGACGACCCAGGAAGAGGGUCGGAGGACUCGACGAGGGUGUAGUUGGCUCCGGGGACUCUGGGACUUUCGGGAACUGCGAGAACCAACCGAUGCUACUGCUACGAAAAUGAAAAAAAAACUACUUCACAUUUAUCAAGCAGCGUAAUCGAGGUCGUAAUUAACACUUUGGCGACUUCGAGCUGUUGUCCAUCGACGUUACGAGAAGCCAAGCAUCGAGAGCCCCGGAGGAAAUCCUGGACUUUUCUUGAAAUGUUCCAAGGAACUCGAACAGUAUCUCGUGGAGUCGAGACAAGAGGAGGCAUACCGGAGGAAAAAGGAAAGAGGAGAAAAGCGUUACUACAGGCGUCAGGAUGAAGCGCAGAAACGUCACACAUUAAUACUCAUCGCCGAGGACGAAGGUUAAGGAAGGCAUCGGCGAGGCCCAAGGAAGAACAGAGGUACUGUGCCCGACUGGUCGUUAUCGGCGUCUGUUAUCGACAUAAGAAAGCGGUUGACACAAGGUUUACGGAGUAACUCGAACGGGCCAGGUCUUAACACAGGAUGCUGCUUUACACGACAACUUCCCUCCGGGAGAUCUACACAUUCCAGAGCGGAACUCUAUUCUUCUGUGGUCAUUUCCCGUAUUUUGAAACAAUGCGUGCCCAAAGCCCCUUAUCAUUCUCCUGUCCGGUGUAGAAUUAUUAGACGACUGGACGGAGAACUGAUAAGGGCCCGAGGGUCACAGAAUCAUCGUGGGACUGGAUACUUCACAUUCUGCUCCUCAUUCGUCAAGGGGAUCCCUAUGCAAACAACGGACUCCGAUAAAAUAGUAGCGCCCUCAUUUUUAAAUUUAAAAAAUCGCGAGUUGCCGACCUAUUUUCUAAGAAUACUUACAAAUAUUUUGAAUUUCACAUAAAUCAUCCAGCUCAAUAUGUAUUAGAAAUCCAUGUAUACAUAUCACACAUGGAGUCACUUUUUGCUAUGUUUAAUACUAUUAUAGGUUUGAACAUAAAUAUGUAUUGAUUUUUUGCUCUAUUAUACCUUUUACUGCGCACGCACACAUUGUAAUACAAAUUAUACUUUUAUAUGAAAUUUCUAAUUUAAAUUUAGAGGAUAAUAAUGCUUUUUUUUAAUGUAUCUUAAUCCUAGAGAUCUUGUAUGCGUGCGUUGUAAAUAUAAUAGAGCAAAAAGUUAGAUGGUUUAUAAUGUGAAAUUCAAAAUAUAUCUGUAAUUAUUCUUAGAAAAUUAGUCGAUAAUUACCGAUAUUUUUAAUUCUAAAAUAAGGGCGCUACUAUUUUAUCGGAGUCCAUUGUUCCCUGAAGUAUUCCGUGAAACAUCAAAAGCACAUGGAAAAAACAGCAUCAGCGCGAACUAAUACUUAUUAUAGUUAAUUGAAUACUUAAUAAGUAUUAUUAUUAAUCGCAUACAUUUAUA